rnacentral:rRNA from 1 species
AUUGAACGCUGGCGGCAGGCCUAACACAUGCAAGUCGAGCGAGCGGCGGACGGGUGAGUAAUGUCUGGGGAACUGCCUGAUGGAGGGGGAUAACUACUGGAAAAGGUAGCUAUUACCGCAUACCAUCGGAUGUGCCCCGAUGGGAUUAUCUAGUAGGUGAGGUAAAGGCUCCCCUAGGCGACGAUCCCUCGCUGGUCUGAGAGGAUGAUCAGCCACACUGGAACUGAGACACGGCCCAGACUCCUACGGGAGGCAGCAGUGGGGAAUAUUGCACAAGGGGCGCAAGCCUGAUGCAGCCAUGCCGCGUGUAUGAAGAAGGCCUUCGGGUUGUAAAGUACUUUCAGCGGGGAGGCGUUACCCGCAGAAGAAGCACCGGCUAACUCCGUGCCAGCAGCCGCGGUAAUAC